AAGAAUUCUUGCCUAUAUCCAAAUUGUUCUUUAAUGAACCUUUUUAUUGAUACUGUGUGAACACCAUCAGCGAGCGUAAGAUGUUCAUUUACUUCUCCAUAUUGUGAUGUUAAAAGUCCAUAUAAACUCCAUGCUACUGGAUUAGCCCAAUAAUACCAUCUCCAAUAAAUAGGAAUUCUCAUUCGAGAAAUCAUGAAUCCGCUGAACAAAUUCCACAUCAUGUAGAAUGGUGCAGCAAGA
rnacentral:misc_RNA from 1 species